GAUACCAUUGCUGCUCAAGUCUGAAUUCAAUCUCACAGUCUUGAGCCUAUAUGAUGGAAGACUGACACUUUAUCCACUGAGAUAUACAAGUUCUUAUAAAAAUAGAAGACACGUGACAUAUGGAAAAACAAAAAAAAAGGUUCACUGGUCCAAUUCUAAACACUGAGCAUGAAAGAGAACAGACUUAUCAAGAUAGCUUACAACUGGAAAAUGGAGAGAAAAAAAAGUGAUUAAAAUGAGUUAACUCUACUUAAGUCACUCAAAGCUGAAGACUAAGAACUUCAAAAGAUAUUGCACAUGAAUAAUGGAUAAGAUAACCCAUGUGAUAGCAACAUCAAAGGCAUGUCAAACAAUUAUUUCCCUUUCAAGGUUUAUUAACUUUUAUUUACUCAACUAUUAUUAAAAUGCAUAUAUAUUCUUAAAA